rnacentral:rRNA from 1 species
CUACGGGACGCACCAGUGGGGAAUAUUGCACAAUGGGCGCAAGCCUGAUGCAGCAACGCCGCGUGAGGGACGAAGGCCUUCGGGUUGUAAACCUCUUUUAGCAGGGAAGAAGCGAAAGUGACGGUACCUGCAGAAAAAGCACCGGCUAACUACGUGCCAGCAGCCGCGGUAAUACGUAGGGUGCAAGCGUUGUCCGGAAUUAUUGGGCGUAAAGAGCUCGUAGGCGGUUUGUCACGUCUGCUGUGAAAUUUCGAGGCUCAACCUCGAACUUGCAGUGGGUACGGGCAGGCUAGAGUGCGGUAGGGGAGAUGGGAAUUCCUGGUGUAGCGGUGGAAUGCGCAGAUAUCAGGAGGAACACCAAUGGCGAAGGCACAUCUCUGGGCCGUAACUGACGCUGAGGAGCGAAAGCGUGGGGAGCAAACAGGAUUAGAUACCCUAGUAGUC